rfam:Triticum urartu cultivar G1812 contig649894, whole genome shotgun sequence.
UAAGUACUCUCUUGUCCUAAAAUUCUUGUCUUAGAUUCCUCUAGAUACGAAUGUAUCUAAUACUAAAACGUGACUUGAGACAUCCGUAUUUAGAUAAAUUUAAGACAAGAAUUUUAAGACGGAGAAAGUAGUAU